AUACGAUUGUGGAAGAUGAGAGUGCCGAGAGCUUGGAAGAAUCAUCAUCACUUUGUUUUAAGGGUGCAUUGACCCCAAAAAAUGGUGUUUUUGAGAGGUCAAUAACAGAGGGGUUAAAGAAAAGAGGACGAAAAGGAAACGAAGUCCCCUGCUGCUGCAUCCAUCUCGAUUGAGAGAGGGAGAGAGAGAAAAGAAGUAGAAGAAGAAGACAGUGGAAGGAGACCCUCUCAGGCGGUGGUGGUGGAUGGUGGUGGGAGGUAGUGGUAGCGGCGGCAGGUGGGUGGUGGUGGUCGGUGGUCAGGUGGUUGUGAUGGUGGGUUGUUAGAGUGAGAAAGAGUGUAGAGAUAGAGAGAAUGUAUGUAUUUGUUUAAUAUAUAAACAAAAUUCUUUUAUUUAUUAUUUUUUAUAAUUUUUUA